CGCUGGCGGCGUGCCUAACACAUGCAAGUCGAACGAAGCAUUUGGAGCAGAUCUCUUCGGAGUGACGCACCUUAUGACUUAGUGGCGGACGGGUGAGUAACACGUGAGCAACCUGCCUCUCAGAGUGGAAUAACAGUUGGAAACGGCUGCUAAUACCACAUAACGUUUUUGUGCUGCAUGACACUUCAACCAAAGAUUUAUCGCUGAGAGAUGGGCUCGCGUCCGAUUAGGUAGAUGGUGGGGUAACGGCCUACCAUGCCGACGAUCGGUAGCCGGACUGAGAGGUUGAUCGGCCACAUUGGGACUGAGACACGGCCCAGACUCCUACGGGAGGCAGCAGUGGGGGAUAUUGCACAAUGGGCGCCAAGCCUGAUGCAGCAACGCCGCGUGCGGGAAGACGGCCUUCGGGUUGUAAACCGCUGUCCUUGGGGAAGAAACAAAUGACGGUACCCAAGAAGGAAGCCACGGCUAACUACGUGCCAGCCGCCGC
rnacentral:rRNA from 1 species